rnacentral:misc_RNA from 1 species
GAUGAAGAACGCAGCGAAAUGCGAUAAGUAAUGUGAAUUGCAGAAUUCAGUGAAUCAUCGAAUCUUUGAACGCACAUUGCGCCCCCUGGUAUUCCGGGGGGCAUGCCUGUCCGAGCGUCAUUACAACCCUCAAGCUCAGCUUGGUGUUGGGCCCCGCCGCCCCGGCGGGCCCUAAAGUCAGUGGCGGUGCCGUCCGGCUCCGAGCGUAGUAAUUCUUCUCGCUCUGGAGGUCCGGUCGUGUGCUCGCCAGCAACCCCCAAUUUUUUUCAGGUUGACCUCGGAUCAGGUAGGGAUACCCGCUGAACUUAAGCAUAUCAACGGAGGA